AUUGAACGCUGGCGGCAUGCCUUACACAUGCAAGUCGAACGGUAACAGGUCUUCGGAUGCUGACGAGUGGCGAACGGGUGAGUAAUACAUCGGAACGUGCCCGAUCGUGGGGGAUAACGGAGCGAAAGCUUUGCUAAUACCGCAUACGAUCUACGGAUGAAAGCAGGGGACCGCAAGGCCUUGCGCGGACGGACCGGCCGAUGGCAGAUUAGGUAGUUGGUGGGAUAAAAGCUUACCAAGCCGACGAUCUGUAGCUGGUCUGAGAGGACGACCAGCCACACUGGGACUGGGACACGGCCCAGACUCCUACGGGAGGCAGCAGUGGGGAAUUUUGGACAAUGGGCGAAAGCCUGAUCCAGCCAUGCCGCGUGCAGGAUGAAGGCCUUCGGGUUGUAAACUGCUUUUGUACGGAACGAAAAGACUCUUUCUAAUAAAGAGGGUCCAUGACGGUACCGUAAGAAUAAGCACCGGCUAACUACGUG
rnacentral:rRNA from 1 species